ensembl:lncRNA
ACCCUGAAGAGAGAACCUUUGCAUUUAUCCUUCUCUGCAUGUGGUAAAGCUUCCGGCUAGUCCUAUCAUCAUUAUUGUUAUAUUAUUUUAUAAUGUUUAAAACAGUUUCCUUCCAAAGCAGUGCCUAAAAUUUAACCAAAAAGACUAGACUAAUAUAUUAAUAUAUAUGUUUGUUCUGACAAUAUUUGUAUAUUCAGAGAGAGAGAGAGAGAGACUAUCUACUGAUCACUGUAGCCAUCCCAAGGGGGCCUCGGGCCUCUUUACUGUCUGCAGAGUAGACUAAUAACCCAACUGCAACUUGCUGAUGCUGCAACUCAGGCCGAACCUGCACUUUCGACAGUCCUCCUUCCUCCCAGCCCGCUCGUGACUUUUUUCCACACCUCCACCCGCAAAAGGAGAGGAUCCUCACACCAAGCCGCCUCCAGAACCACCGUGGCCUCUAUGCAAACGGCCCUUUCUGCUGCCUGCGAAGGAGAGGGAAGGCAAGGAAGCGGAGCGCAGGCCCACGCGCCCCUUCCACGGACGUCCACAGCCCCCUCCUGCUGCACCGAGCUUCCGACCGCCUUAUCUGGACUGCUUUUUCUCACUGGCCCUUGGCGAGACGACCCGGAGAAACCAUGCUCUGCUCUCCUGUUGCUCCUUGGCUGGCCUCCCCUCAACUGCGUGGACUCUGCGCUCGGACCACAGUUUUGCCUAGUCCCACCAACGAAGCCCCCGCCUCCCUGGGGGAACUGCUUAGCUGGCUUUCUGAAGUGACCGAGUCUUGGACCAGUUCCGGAGGAGGCCCCGAGGCUGCAGCUUCCCGGGGGUGGCCCCCGACAAAGUGUUGCUGGAUGUCCAUUUCAACCUCCUUCCCAGGCGCAGUGGACCUCGUGCCCUUCGGUUGGGGGAAGGGGGACAGCACUGAGGAGCCGGGCAAUCCUUUCCCUUCCCUUUGCAGCCACCACGGAGCAGUUAGCAAGCGGUCUGAGGCCAGUGGCGCUGGCACCGGGGGGGGCAAGCGUGGGCAGCCCCUGCCGCUGGCCCCUUCCAAGGGGCCUCGGUGAGCAGCCCACGGGAGAAGCUGGAGUCGCCCUCUGCUCAGCCCAGAGGAGCAGCCGGUCUGUAGUCUCCGGAGGCUGAAUUCGUGCAGCAGCUCCUGGAGGCCUCCUCUACUCUGUGCAAGGAGAACGACCCCGGGGGAAACGGCAGCGGGCCCCACAGGUCUAGGGCUAGAAGCCUCACCACUGUGGCAGGCAGGCGAGCAGGUGCUUUGGACACGGCUGGCGGUGCCGCAGGCCUGGCAGAGCAGACUUCCCAAGUUGCCGAAUUCCGUCUCUCUACCUUUCAGCCACUAAAGAUGAAGAGUCCAGCCCGCUUCCUCCUUCCUGUGCUCCCCUCCCCCCAUCGCAGGGGUGCCAUUCCAAGGGGCUCACCAGAUGCUUGGCAUUCCUUCUAAAGCAAUAAGAAUGACAAAGGCCACACUAGCAGCAUCCAGCAAAAGUCCUCCGUCAGCUCCUGGCCUCAUGUGGUCUGUGCUGACAGAGGAUGCUACGCCGGGGGGGGGGGGGCAGUCCUUGUGCUCUGGACUUGAGCGUAUCUUUCAUGCCUCCUUUCCCCGCGUCCUGGUUGGGGAAGCAGAAAGGGGGCGUGGCCUUCCUGCCAUGGCCUUUUCUCCACUCACGCACCCUCUGAAGGCGGUCCUUUUCUUGCGCCAUGUGCAUCAAGCCAUCCCAUGCCUUAGCGCACGUUGUUACAUUAUCCUCUCAUUAUCCAGUUAAUUGUUGUUGUUUUUCCUUUUGCAUGCCAUUUUAACUUGACAAGUUGUACUCAUGUUCUUUGUGAAUCGGCCCUGGUCGACUCAGAGGGCCGCUCGCCGCCUUUCUCACAUGCGCCCCCCCCAUACACACACACACACACACCCAACGUGGCUCCUUUCUGCCCACCUUUCUGCUCCAAGCAGCCGGGUUGGACAGAACUGUUCUCACAUGAAGCUGUUCGGGCUCGUCUCUAGUUUUUGGGAGGCAGAACACUAAACCCUGUCUUGUAAAUACAAUGAAGUGUUUGUAAAAACAUGCAGUAUGAUGAUGGAACCACAGCCUCUCGUGUCACGGGCGGGGGGGCAGUAAAGGAGAUUUGAUGAAAUCGCUUGGUGUGCUUUCUUGAGAACAAACCGUCCCAAGAGCGCGGUCCCCUGGGCCAGGUGCCUCCGCCUUGCUGGGCUUUGUGCUAAUCAUGCUGAGGCGGCUGCUGCAAACCCCCCAAGCCUCCUGUUAGGCGUCUGGAGGUAGCAGGCGUGUCUCCCUCAGUGACCAGAGGAACAUGCUCAACAGGAAUAAGAAGGUCUGGCUUAAAACAGGGACAGUCUCCUGCCCUCAGUCCAUGAGCCUGCAGUGGGCGGGGGGGGGAGGUGGAAGGGACUGUGGAUCAGGCUUUGGGGUGAGACCACAGCGCAGGGAAGGAAUCCAUCUGUGGAGACUUUCCCUCUCAAGAAUCUGCCAUGAGGCGCACGGAGUCCGUUUUCUGGAAAGUUUUUUAUUUUUCUGCGAGCCAGCAGCGACCACCGGUGCAGUAAAGAAAGUCUAAGAAGGGAUCAAGGAUGCAUGCACGGCUAAUACAGGAAAGUGAUGCAAAGGCUAUAAAAGGUGGUUUAAACUGGUCUUCCUUUGAACCUUUCUCAGGGUAUCUCCUAAAAGAACAACUUCCCUUUUGAGCAUCUGGUUGCCUACCUAACGUGAUCAAUUAAUUCCCUUCAGGAAGAUGCCCGAGUUUAAUUGCUCUAUGAUACCUUUUGCUAGAGGAGAGGAGGGAUCCCUGUCUUCCUGCUUUUCGGACAAUGGCUGAGUUUCUCAUAAUACUUUGGGCUUUCCCAGACACAAGAAAAGACUGGCUAUUUCUAAUACAUUUCAAAAAUUGCUAAAUUCCUAAACAUCAACAACAGGACUCAUGUGGUGGACCAGAAGGGAGGGCAUUUCCUGCCAAUAAACUCAAAUAGAGGAAUCCUAGCUAGAACA